rnacentral:lncRNA from 1 species
CGGGAAGCUGCUGUAAGAGCGAAACGUUGCCCCACUUGGCGGUGUCCAGGGUCAGAAGUCAGUGGUGGCUAUACUCGGAAUAAGGCUGACAGUUCGCAGUGAGGGAAAACGUGUAACCUGGCAGGAUGAGGAACACGCAAUGAAAAUGAACCCAGGGAAACCAAAGAUUUCUAAGAGCUGUAUUUUAUUGUGGUCCAAAGAAAGGACUGAGAGCUGCUUAAGGGAAACAGCAUUUAUAAAGCCCAAACAUUAAAUAUAUAUUGCAACAGAAAUACAAUCUUAAUGGAGAUAACUGAAUUGUAAUAGUUUAAGAAACGGUCUUUUCAGAAAACUAAACAGUGAGCAAAACAAUGUUCAAUUUUAAAACGCCCAGACGUGACUCACACACAGCAACCGCCUAUGGGAGAGCAGUAGUUUUCCUUGACCUUCCCUACACUGCGCCCCGGGAGUUCCCCGUAACCCCAGAGCAGAAAAAUUCACCAACUUUGGAAUCUAGUCAGAAAAACAAAACAAAUAAAACCGUGCGGACCCCCAAGCAAGGAUUCACUAACAUUCCUACCGGCCUUGCUUAACCUCCAUGCCCCCGGGAAGUGGCGCGAAUCACUCUUGGCACCACUUGGGGCGCACAGAAAGGACCCACCUCCUGUUGGCCAGGCAACCGCACACCUGAGGCAAGAGGACCAGAAGUGGAGAACAAACUGCUCAAGUUCCAGCAGUCUCCAAAUCAGAGUCCCUAUUAUCUUGGGCCCUUGCAAACUUGAGCACUCACCUUUGGCCACGUAGCUGCCCCUUUUCACCCUGCCAGCAGAAACAAAGUGAACGCUCUUCUUUUCUCUGUAAGCUGGAAAUUACCAAGGGCAUACUUGAGCCUACCAGGCCCCGAGGACCCCAUUUCAGGCCCAAAUGUGCCAGUUUUACCCUUGCUGAGAGUGCUCACUGCAGUCUUCAUCAACCAACUUCUAAGUGGGUGUCAAUGAGGAGCAGCCUCACGCUUUUUCUGCAGAGAGAAGGUAGAGAGAGAUGAGGGCUUUCGGUGUGGCCCUGUGACCCCAGGCUACUAUCCCAGGCUAUGGCACGUCUUCGCCAGAAAAGCAGCGACCGAGUUAUUUCCCUGUUGACAAUGCCCAGCAGCCGGGCCCUGUUAUUAUAGGGGUUAUUAGAGGGGUCGCCUUCUUCUCUAAUGGUUCCUGUUCAGGGUUUUCCCCCAGUAAGAUUUAGAAAAGACUGGACUAAAACACUUUACCUCCCAGAGUCUCUUAGAACAUGGCCCCCGAGUCGUCUCCCCUACACUCCCCCUCCCACCCCUACCCUGUUGUCCCUCAGCUGAUGGUGCGGAUGGAAAGACUCAAAGACAGACAAGAACCCCCCACCAGCCCCCACCCGCUGGGAACAGGACCGACAAUCUUUCCCACUUUCUUGUGGAAAAUUUUCACACGUACACACAAAAUCUGGAGUCCGAGAUAAUAGGUGAUGAGCCGUCCUGGGAACGGUGUCGCAGGCUGAGGAUGUCCAAGACCUGGCGAGUCUCGGGUCAGAGGAGCCGGAGGGGGCGACCCGAGGCCCCGCGCCCCGGCUCUGCGCUGGGGGGUGGUGCUGGCUAUUUCUCUCUGCUCCCAACUAUUACAUUUCUUUUUUCCUUCAUCUUGGCUAGAGUUAUACGUUUUAUGUGUGGGGCGAUUUAGAAAAUAAAAUUGGACUAUAUAAGCUAUUCUAUAUAUAAAAAAGAACCCGAAAAGCCUCGCGUUUUUUCUCUUGUGUUUUCCUCACUUUUCUUUUUCUCAAACUGCAAAAUUUUAGUGCCUGAAUGGCGAAUGGGGAAAAGGACUGGCCGGAGAGUGAGGCACGGAAGGGAGGUCUGAAAGUGAAUUUUUCAAUGCCUAGUUUACCCUUGAUGUCGCAUUCCAUCUUAAAUGGCCACUAUGAUGAUAAUCUGAGCAGUAAUAUUAGUCGAUUUUCCUGCUCUACAGUGCGGCUUGGAGAAGUCUUGGGAAUCAAACGGCAUGAACUUAGAUUCCUGUUACACAACUUUUCAAUGAGGGAGGAGGAUAUCGAAUACCUCACUCAGUCUUCGGGAAUGGAGCCUUCAAAAACACUUUUGUGAGGCCGGGCGCGGUGGCUCACGCAUGUAAUCCCAGCACUUUGGAAGGCCAAGGCGGGCGGAUCACGAGGUCAGGAGUUCAAGCCUUGCCAACAUGGUGAAACCCCGUCUCUACUAAAAAUACACAAAUUAGCUGGGCAUGGUGGCGCGCGCCUGUAAUCUCAGCUACUCGGGAGGCUGAGGCAGGAGAAUCGCUUGAACCGGGACCCGGGAAGCAAAGGUUGCAGUGAGCGGAGAUCGCGCCACUGCACUCCAGCCUGAGCUACAGAGCGAGACUCCGUCUCAAAAAAAAAAAAAAAAAAGAAAGAAAAAGAAAAAAGAAAAAAAAAAAAGAAAGAAAGAAAAGAAAGAAAAAACCCUUGUGAGCCGCCUAAAAACCGUCCUGUGAGCAUCUCAUCCCCACACUGGCGCUGCCACCCGCACGGACCUUCCAACUUCGCACUGUUCCAUUUUCUCUAUGUGCUUUUCAGCCCAUCCUUGGAGUUGCUCUGUAAGAAGGACUUUCGGAGUGAAACUCCACAGUGCGGUUCAAAGACACGCUUAGGAUGCCCCGGGAUGGAGAGAGGACUGAGCUUGGACUGGAAUUCCUGGAACAGACGAGGGCUUGUGAGCUUGUCCCAGGCACUGAGGACAGCAUACUCUUCCCGACAAGGGCAUCUGGGUCGAGAGAAGGUGGAGCGGGUCUUCGGCAAAGGCGAAACCCUGGAGAACGCUGCCCCACCCCACCCUGUAAGCGUGGACGAGUAAUAAUCUCCCGGCCUCAGUUUCCACCCUCUGCUUAUAUCAAUUUUAAGAAGCUUUAUUUUUUCUAAGAUGAUUUUCCCUACAUAUUUCUUGUCUCCCUCACUGCCAUUCCCGCCCCUCCCCCCCAAAAUACAUUGUAAAUCUUUUUCCUCCUACGGUUAAUUUUAAAGAACCACAAAAGUUUGCAUAAGACAGAAUUUACCUGCCCAUAUAUUUCUGUUGAAGGUGGAAAAUUGUUUUUACGUGGCAAGUUUUAUUUCUAUUGAUUUCUAAAAAUUUUAUCUGGAAAGAAUUUGGCUCAUGAGCUAAAUAAUAUAGUUACCAUUUGCUUAAUAAUUUUUAAGCUCUAGGCAUUGAGGUAAAUGCUUUAUAUAUUUUUUCUUAGUCUGAGAACAACCAUGUAAAAUAGGGUUUUUCCUUCUGUUUUUCUUCCUCCCUCUCUUCUUUCCAAUUUGAAAACUGAGGCAGAGACAUUAAAUGGCUUUCACAAAGGUAUAGAGCUAGUAAGUAGCAGAGGCAGAGUCUGAACACAACUACCAACCGCUAAGUGGAAGCUCUUAGCAGAGGUCAGCCGAGUUUUCAAGUGAGGCUAUAACUGCUGAAGAGUAGCCCUUCAACCUAUGGUACUUGGUUGCCCAUUAUAAAGGAAAGCUGUGUAGUAAUUUGACUUUUUAUACCUUAAGAAAUAAUCACGGCAAAAAAAAACCCUAAAAAUAAUCUUUAGCUGUUAAGCAAUCAUCAUAUUGCUAGUUGUAGUGCUGUUAUUCAUAUUUUGCAACUGUUUAUAUAUUAUGAGAUAAAGCAAGUAAGUCAUUAUAUUGGUGUCUUACAGAACUGAAAUUUUUCAUUAUAAGUAAAAAGGAGAUACAGGUGGAAGAUUAUUGAAAUCAAAUAAAAAUCUUAUAGCCCUGGAAAGAAAAAAAAAGGAAAGCUAUGGUUAAGAAGCAAGAGUAGAAGCUGUGAGUAGUUACUACCAGUACAGAAAGCUUGAAACAGACUUGUAUUCCCACCCCAAUCAAUGCUUCUCACAGGAGCACAUUGAAUCCUCUGUUAUGUUAAUUCUGGCAAUCUCUAUGUCUUCUGGGUCCUACCAUCAAACCUCUGAAAGCAAUUCAAAUAUUUUGCCACUCCCUUUGACCAUUUAUUUUUUAAAUCUGAGAUUAGAAUUGUGGAACACAUAGUGGAUUGAUAUAAAGAGGAAAAUCAAGCACCAGGAAUAAAGAUUAUAAAAGAGUUAGCUCCUUGAAGGUUGUUGGUAAUAGACCAAUCAUGCCAACAUAAAAAAAUUAAAUACUACUUUAAUGAAAUUUCAUACUUUUAAUAAAUUACUUUCAUCUUGUUAGUUCUGAUCUAGAAUAUCUUUGUAUUUAACAUAAAUGAGAUAAAAUUAUAAAGAGAUUCAUCCUCUAUUUUCCAUUAUAACAUGCAUAAAGUAAGAUUUCAAAAAUUUAAAUAAAUGUGUCAGAAUAUUCAUGGAAAGUAUUCAGCUGUGAGAUUAUGUACUUAUUUGAAUAAAGUGUCUUUUUACAA